UACGGAGGAUCCGAGCGUUAUCCGGAUUUAUUGGGUUUAAAGGGAGCGUAGGCGGGUUGUUAAGUCAGUUGUGAAAGUUUGCGGCUCAACCGUAAAAUUGCAGUUGAUACUGGCAUCCUUGAGUACAGUAGAGGUAGGCGGAAUUCGUGGUGUAGCGGUGAAAUGCAUAGAUAUCACGCAGAACCCCGAUUGCGAAGGCAGCCUUCCGGCGCCCUACUGACGCUGAGGCACGAAAGUGCGGGGAUCGAACAGG
rnacentral:rRNA from 1 species